ensembl:lncRNA
CUGGGAUUUCACGGGGAGAAAUGACUGGAAAAUUAUCUCAAAAUGAUGCAUUUCCUAUUCUCAGUUUGGUGUGUCUGUCGCAAUUGCUCGAGGAACAGGAAUGCUUCUGAAGGCUGCCACGCUGCCCCCAAAAGGAGUGUGCCCCAGUGUUGUCAUGGCUCCAGUCUGCUGGAAUGUCAUCUUGGCUCUUGCAACAAGCAGAAAAAUUUUGUAUGCAGACACAGACUCGGGGAGGAUAUAAUUGGUACCUAUUGCUCUACUUUCAAAAUGCUGCAUUCAGAUACAUUCCUGUGGAAAAAGAAACUGAUGAAUCUUCAAUACCUGGAGAGGCUGAGAUCAUCCACAGACUUCUAAUGAGCAUCGAACUGCACUGCCUUCCUCCAGCACUGCUGAGACACGG